UAAAAAGUUUAACCUGCCCACUGAUUAAAUAAAAAUAUUAAAUGGCCGCGGUAUUUUGACCGUGCAAAGGUAGCAUAAUCGUUAGUUUUUUAAUUGGAAUCUUGUAUGAAUGGUUGGACAAAAGAAAAUCUGUCUCUAUACUGUUUAUUGAAUUUAACUUUUAAGUGAAAAGGCUUAAAUAGAUUAAAGGGACGAUAAGACCCUAUAAAGCUUAAUAUUAAUACUCAUUUAGUUGAAUUUAAAAUUAUAAAAACUUAGUGACUAAAUUUAUUUUAUUGGGGCGAUAAGAGUAAAAUUAUUGUUAACUGCUUAAUUUUUAAUACAUUUAUAAAUGUUUAUAUUUUUAAAUGAUCCUAAUGUAAAGAUUAAAAGUUUAAGUUACUUUAGGGAUAACAGCGUUAUUUUUCUUAAGAGUACUUAUCGAAAGAAAAGUUUGCGACCUCGAUGUUGAAUUAAAAUAUCUUUAUAAUUGUAGCAGUUAUACGAGUAGGUCUGUUCGACCUUUAAAAUUUUACAUGAUUUGA
rnacentral:rRNA from 1 species